rnacentral:lncRNA from 1 species
AAAACCCUUGCAUAAUGCCUCAAAUUUUCUUUCUUGGUAGGAGCAUUUGGAUAAGGUGGGUGUUGCACUGGAAAACUCUUAAGUUUCCCUUUCUCCUCUUGAACUUUUUGAGCUUUUGUCUUCUUUUCAUUACUCUUUUUUUUUUCUAAACCUUAGUUUUCAAUAUUUUCAUUUUCAACUAAUUCUUCCUUUUUAUUUUCG